rnacentral:rRNA from 1 species
UACGUAGGUGGCAAGCGUUGUCCGGAUUUAUUGGGUUUAAAGGGUGCGUAGGCGGCCCUAUAAGUCAGUGCUGAAAUAUCCCGGCUUAACCGGGAGGGUGGCAUUGAUACUGUAGGGCUUGAGUGAAGUCGAGGUAGGCGGAAUUGACGGUGUAGCGGUGAAAUGCUUAGAUAUCGUCAAGAACACCGAUAGUGAAGACAGCUUACUAGACUUCAACUGACGCUGAGGCACGAAAGUGUGGGGAUCAAACAGG